UGGGGGAUAUUGCACAAUGGGCGAAAGCCUGAUGCAGCGACGCCGCGUGGGGGAUGAAGGCCUUCGGGUUGUAAACUUCUUUUGCUCUGAACAAGGCGCACCAUGGGGUGUGUUGAGUGUAGGGGUUGAUUAGCGCCGGCCAACUACGUGCCAGCAGCCGCGGUAAUACGUAGGGCGCGGGCGUUGUCCGGAAUUAUUGGGCGUAAAGGGCUUGUAGGUGGCUGGUUGCGUCUGUCGUGAAAGCUCAUGGCUUAACUGUGGGUUUGCGGUGGGUGCGGGCUGGCUUGAGUGCAGUAGGGGAGGCUGGAAUUCCUGGUGUAGCGGUGGAAUGCGCAGAUAUCAGGAGGAAUACCGGUGGCGAAGGCGGGUCUCUGGGCUGUUACUGACACUGAGGAGCGAAAGAAUGGGGAGCGAACAGG
rnacentral:rRNA from 1 species